UAGCAACCAAUCAGAUCGCUUCUUUCAGAUUUCAGAAGCCUUUAUUUUUAAAUGAAAGAAGCAAUCUUAUUGGUUGCUACGGGCAACUGGUCAAUUUUUCCUCUGCACUGGUUUUAAUAAAUGUGUGCCCGAUACAUAUAUGUAAAGGGGAAGAAAUGUGCUGUUAUUAAAAAAAAUAACUUAUAUCCCUGUAGAGUUCUUCUCCCCCGUGGAUCUGAUCACCUAGUUUCCUCUCUGAGCGAUAACCCUACUGUUGCCAGGCAACAGAGCACACACUCUCCCACAAUCCCCCUUGCUUAUAAGCACAGUGGAGACAAACCGCCAUUAACUUCAGGAGACUGCAGGUGAACUGAGCAUGUGUUACCCAUCCAUAGUGGGUCGUAACUAAGGGCAACAAUUAUCAAAACAAUGCAGGUGAUUGAUGCCCCGUGAGAAGGUGAACGUGACAUAAACCCUCGUCAGCUGCAAAAAAGGAACCGCGAGACAGGUGACUGAUGCCCCGUGAGAAGGUGAACGUGACGUAUACACUCGUUAGCUGCAAAAAGGAACAGCGAGACAGGACAUCUUAUGGACCGUUAUUUUACCGAUAGAACCUGAGCUCUGGAGGAGGCGUGGCCAGCUAAUUAAGGAUCCUUAAAUACAGCUGCUUCAGUGCAGUUCAAGCUCCAUGCAUGAGUGAGGACAGCUGUGCAGCAGACUUUUGGAGGGAAACUGUGACCAUAUUACCAGAUGUCUGCCCCAACCGGGAGGAGCUGCUAUUGGAAAGUUAAGUAUCUAGAUUUAUCACUUCUGCCAUGUCAUUGUUGUAUAACACUCUAUCUUUAUACUUCAUCCAGAAGGUGUUCAUUAUAUACCUUGUCUGUUUUUGUGAUAACCGUUAUGGUCAGCCCCAUCUCUAGUACCGGCAGGUUAGAUAGUGGCUAUCUAUGCAUGACUUGUUCCAUUGCUAACUUGGGGGAGUUAUCAAUGUGGCACCAUGUGUAGAUAGCCAUAAUAACUAGUUAAACCUAAAGAAUCAGUUAGUGAAACUGUAGAUUAGUCACCUAUUGUAAUAAAUCUUUUCAAAAUGGCAAUUUACCAUAUAAUUCUAUGGUGAAUGUCAGCCCCAUCUCUAGUACUAGCAGGUUAGAUAGUAGCUACCUAUGCAUGACUUGUUGCAUUGCUAACUUGGGGGAGUUAUCAAUGUGGCACCAUGUGUGGAUAGCCAUAAUAACUAGUUAACCCUAAAUAAUCCAGUUAUUUCUGUUAUUGUAAUAUACUAUUCAGCAUCAGUAGAACAAUAGUCAGUGCCUACUAAAUGAAGGUAGGAAUUAAUUAGGAAAGUCCUAGCUGUAAGUAUGGCUGAUACCUUGACUGAGGAUUUGCAGCCACUAUCAUUGUUUGUUUUUUUACAUGCAGCUUUUUUAUCUUUUGUUCGUCUUUGUUGUUGUUUUUCAAGUUGCUUCAUUUUCUAACAGAUUUUGUGUCUUUCCCACAAGUAUCUAGGUAGGUUUUUUUUUUUUUUUUAGAAUUCUUUUCCUGUAGAGCAAGAAUAUUUGAUGCUGCCUGCUAGCCCUGGACACCAAUACCCAAGAAAGAGUGAGACGACCAUCUGCCCAGACUGGAAGGAGCUACGAUGAGAUGGUAAGGCCUAUGCCAUUGACUUGAUCUAAUAGCCUGUGUCUUUGUGCUUCAUCCAGAAGCUGUUCUAUUGUGUAAGACAACCCACACUGUCAGACCAAUAAGUUAUUAACUUUGACCUAUGUCAUAUUCUUGUUCUAGAAGUAUCUAUCAGUUUGCUUUCUCCAGGUAUUCCUUAUCUUCCCUGGCUGGAAUUGUGGACCUACACGUAAGUAAAUAAAAGCAUGUCUGUUCUUGUCAAAAUGUGUUAUAUUUAGGGGGUAAUUUGUUUAAUGACUGUCUCUUGCCUUUGCCAGUCGCCGCCUACCGUGGCAGUCUUUGCCAAAUUUGGCAAUUUACCAUAUAAUUCUAUGGUGAAUGUCAGCCACAUUCCUAGUACCUGCAGGUUAGAUAGUAGCUACCUAUGCAUGACUUGUUGCAUUGCUAACAUGGGGGAGUUAUCAAUGUGGCACCAUGUGUAGAUAGCCAUAAUAACUAGUUAACCCUCAGUUAUUUCUGUUAUUGUAACAUACUAUUCAGCAUCAGUAGAACAAUAGUCAGUGCCUAUUAAAUGAAGGUAGGAAUUAAUUAGGAAAGUCCUAGCUGUAAGUAUGGCUGAUACCUUGACUGAGGAUUUGCAGCCACUAUCAUUGUUUUUAACAUGCUGCUUUUUUAUCUUUUGUUCGUCUCUUUGUUGUUGUUUUUUCAAGUUGCUUCAUUUUCUAACAGAUUUUGUGUCUUUCCCACAAGUAUCUAGGUAGGUUUUUUUUUUUUUAGAAUUCUUUUCCUGUAGAGCAAGAAUAUUUGAUGCUGCCUGCUAGCCCUGGACACUAAUACCCAAGAAAGAGUGAGACGCCCAUCUGCCCAGACUGGGAGGAGCUGCGUUAAAACGAGCAAGAAUAUUUGAUGCUGCCUGCUAGCCCUGGACACAAAUACCCAAGAAAGAGUGAGACGACCAUCUGCCCAGACUGGAAGGAGCUACGAUGAGACGGUAAGGCCUAUGCCAUUGACUUGAUCUAAUAGCCUGUGUCUUUGUGCUUCAUCCAGAAGCUGUUCUAUUGUGAAAGACAACCCACACCUGGGAGGAGCUGCUGUCAGACCAAUAAGUUACUAACUUUGACCUAUGUCAUAUUCUUGUUCUAGAGGUAUCUAUCAGUUUGCUUUCUCCAGGUAUUCCUUAUCUUCCCUGGCUGGAAUUGUGGACCUACACGUAAGUAAAUAAAAGCAUGUCUGUUCUUGUCAAAAUGUGUUAUAUUUAGGGGGUAAUUUGUUUAAUGACUGUCUCUUGCCUUUGCCAGUCGCCGCCUACCGUGGCAGUCUUUGCCAAAUUUGGCAAUUUACCAUAUAAUUCUAUGGUGAAUGUCAGCCACAUUCCUAGUACCUGCAGGUUAGAUAGUAGCUACCUAUGCAUGACUUGUUGCAUUGCUAACAUGGGGGAGUUAUCAAUGUGGCACCAUGUGUAGAUAGCCAUAAUAACUAGUUAACCCUCAGUUAUUUCUGUUAUUGUAACAUACUAUUCAGCAUCAGUAGAACAAUAGUCAGUGCCUACUAAAUGAAGGUAGGAAUUAAUUAGGAAAGUCCUAGCUGUAAGUAUGGCUGAUACCUUGACUGAGGAUUUGCAGCCACUAUCGUUGUUUUUAACAUGCUGCUUUUUAAUCUUUUGUGUUUGUUCGGCUCUUUGUUUUUCAAGUUGCUUCAUUUUCUAACAGAUUUUGUCUUUCUCACAAGUAUCUAGGUAGGUUUUUUUUAGAAUUCUUUUCCUGUAGAGCAAGAAUAUUUGAUGCUGCCUGCUAGCCCUGGACACUGAUACCCAAGAAAGAGUGAGAUGAGCAUCUUACCAGACUGGAAGGAGCUACGAUGAGACGGUAAGACCUAUGCCAUUGACUUGUUCUAAUAGCCUGUGUCUUCAUAUUUCUGUUCUAUUGUGUAAGACAACCCACACCUGGGAGGAGCUGCUGUCAGACCAAUAAGUUACUAACUUUGACCUAUCAGUUUGCUUUCUCCAGGUGUUGCUUAUCUUCCCUGGCUGGAAUUGUGGACCUACACGUAAGUAAUUGAAAUCAUGUCUGUUUUUUCAAAAUGUGUUCUAUUUAGGGGGUAACUUGUUUAAUUGCAUAAUUAAAUGACUUUCUGUCUCUUGCCUUUGCCAGUUGCUGCCUACCGUGGCAGUCUUUAUCAAAUUUGGCAAUUUACCAUAUAAUUCUAUGGUGAAUGUCAGCCCCAUUCCUAGUACCAGCUGGUUAGGUAGUAGCUACCUAUGCAUGACUUGUUGCAUUGCUAACUUGGGGGAGUUAUCAAUGUGGCACCAUGUGUCGAUAGCCUUAGUAACUAGUUAAACUUAAAGAAACAGUUAUUUCUGUUAUCGUCAUAUACUAUUCAGCAUCAGUAGAACAAAUAGUCAGUGCCUACUAAAUGAAGGUAAGAAUGUAUUAGGAAAGUCCUAGCUGUAAGUAUGGCUGAUACCUCGACUGAGGAUUUGCAGCCACUAUCAUUGUUGUUUUUAACAUGCAGCUUUUUUAUCUUUUGUGUUUGUUCUGCUCUUCAUUAUUGCUUCAUUUUCUAACAGCUUUUGUCUUUCUCACAAGUAUCUAGGUAGGUUUUUUUUAGAAUUCUUUUCCUGUAGAGCAAGAAUAUUUGAUGCUGUCUGCUAGCCCUGGACACUGAUACCCAAGAAAGAGUGAGAUGAGCAUCUUACCAGACUGGAAGGAGCUACGAUGAGACGAAGUAUCUAUCAGUUUGCUUUCUCCAGGUGUUACUUAUCUUCCCUGGCUGGAAUUAUGGACCUACACAUUUGGCAAGUUCAUUCUACUACAUGGUGUAGUAGUAGACCAUGGCAAGAACCUUAAACUUACUACCUUACCAGUCAUUGAAUCUACAUAAGACAAGACAAGACAUGACAUGACAUCUAGCAAAAAUAGUAUGGUAUGAGUUUAUUCUACUACCCGGUAUAGAAGACCAUGUAAUGAACAUUCAACAACUUCCUACCUUACCAUACUCAGCUCCAGACAUGCUAUUAGCAGAAGUCUUGACAUCUUGCCAAAAUCAUAUGAUCCUCACUUCUGCACUUUGUUCUGUGAAGUAAUCAACAGUUUCCACUAUGAAAAUCUCUGGCAACAUGAAAACCUGCCCGGGCUCCAUUGUCCCAGUUACAAAAGUUUAAACAUUUUUUUUUUCUUACAUAAAAUAUACAUGUCUUCUACUAAAUGUGUUUUUUUUUUUUUAACUUAU